rnacentral:rRNA from 1 species
UGGGGAAUAUUGCACAAUGGGCGCAAGCCUGAUGCAGCCAUGCCGCGUGUAUGAAGAAGGCCUUCGGGUUGUAAAGUACUUUCAGCGGGGAGGAAGGCGAUAAGGUUAAUAACCUUGUCGAUUGACGUUACCCGCAGAAGAAGCACCGGCUAACUCCGUGCCAGCAGCCGCGGUAAUACGGAGGGCGCACGCGUUCAUCGGAAUUACUGGGCGUAAAGCGCACGCAGGCGGUCUGUCAAGUCGGAUGUGAAAUCCCCGGGCUCAACCUGGGAACUGCAUUCGAAACUGGCAGGCUAGAGUCUUGUAGAGGGGGGUAGAAUUCCAGGUGUAGCGGUGAAAUGCGUAGAGAUCUGGAGGAAUACCGGUGGCGAAGGCGGCCCCCUGGACAAAGACUGACGCUCAGGUGCGAAAGCGUGGGGAGCAAACA